rnacentral:rRNA from 1 species
GAUGAACGCUAGCGGCAGGCUUAAUACAUGCAAGUCGUGGGGCAGCACAGAGUAGCAAUACUUGGGUGGCGACCGGCAAACGGGUGCGGAACACGUACGCAACCUUCCUUCAGGCGGGGAAUAGCCCAGAGAAAGUUGGAUUAAUACCCCAUAAAAUUUUGAGAUGGCAUCAUCUUAUUAUUAAAGCUUCGGCACCUGAUGAUGGGCGUGCGGCUGAUUAGGUAGUUGGCGGGGUAACGGCCCACCAAGCCUACGAUCAGUAGCUGAUGUGAGAGCAUGAUCAGCCACACGGGCACGGAGACACGGGCCCGACUCCUACGGGAGGCAGCAGUAAGGAAUAUUGGUCAAUGGACGAAAGUCUGAACCAGCCAUGCCGCGUGGAGGAUGAAGGUCCCCUGGAUUGUAAACUUCUUUUAUUUGGGACGAAAAAAGGGAAUUCUUUCCCACUUGACGGUACCAGAUGAAUAAGCACCGGCUAACUACGUGCCAGCAGCCGCCGUAAGAC